UCGAGAAUCUUCGGCAAUGGGCGCAAGCCUGACCGAGCGACGCCGCGUGGAGGAUGAAGGCCCUUGGGUUGUAAACUCCUGUCAGAGGGGAUGAAGUGCCAGUCAGCAAUCUGAUUGGUUUGACAUAGCCUCAGAGGAAGCACGGGCUAAGUUCGUGACAGCAGCCGCGGUAAUACGUAGGUGGCAAGCGUUGUCCGGAUUUACUGGGCGUAAAGCGCGCGCAGGCGGUCGUUCAAGUCGCGUGUGAAAGCCCCCGGCUCAACUGGGGAGGGUCACGCGAUACUGAUCGACUCGAAGGCAGGAGAGGGUAGUGGAAUUCCCGGUGUAGUGGUGAAAUGCGUAGAUAUCGGGAGGAACACCGGUGGCGAAGGCGGCGACCUGGGUAGAUACUGACGCUGAGGCGCGAAAGCGUGGGGAGCAAA
rnacentral:rRNA from 1 species